AUACGGAGGAUCCGAGCGUUAUCCGGAUUUAUUGGGUUUAAAGGGUGCGCGGGCGGGAGAUUAAGUCGGCGGUGAAAUUUUGCAGCUCCACUGUAAAAGUGCCUUCGAAACUGGUUUCCUUGAGUGUAGAUGAAGUAGGCGGAAUUUGUGGUGUAGCGGUGAAAUGCAUAGAUAUCACGAGGAACUCCGAUUGCGCAGGCAGCUUACUAAACUACUACUGACGCUCAGGCACGAAGGCGUGGGGAUCAAACAGGAUUAGAUACCCUGGUAGUCCACGCAGUAAACGAUGAUUACUAGCUGUUUGCGAUACAAUGUAAGCGGCUGAGCGAAAGCGUUAAGUAAUCCACCUGGGGAGUACGUUCGCAAGAAUGAAACUCAAAUGAAUUGACGGGG
rnacentral:rRNA from 1 species